CCAGACUCUACGGGAGGCAGCAGUAGGGAAUCUUCGGCAAUGGACGGAAGUCUGACCGAGCAACGCCGCGUGAGUGAAGAAGGUUUCGGAUCGUAAAGCUCUGUUGUAAGAGAAGAACGAGUGUGAGAGUGGAAAGUUCACACUGUGACGGUAUCUUACCAGAAAGGGACGGCUAACUACGUGCCAGCAGCCGCGGUAAUACGUAGGUCCCGAGCGUUGUCCGGAUUUAUUGGGCGUAAAGCGAGCGCAGGCGGUUAGAUAAGUCUGAAGUUAAAGGCUGUGGCUUAACCAUAGUACGCUUUGGAAACUGUUUAACUUGAGUGCAAGAGGGGAGAGUGGAAUUCCAUGUGUAGCGGUGAAAUGCGUAGAUAUAUGGAGGAACACCGGUGGCGAAAGCGGCUCUCUGGCUUGUAACUGACGCUGAGGCUCGAAAGCGUGGGGAGCAAACAGGAUUAGAUACCCUGGUAGUCCACGCCGUAAACGAUGAGUGCUAGGUGUUAGACCCUUUCCGGGGUUUAGUGCCGUAGCUAACGCAUUAAGCACUCCGCCUGGGGAGUACGACCGCAAGGUUGAAACUCAAAGGAAUUGACGGGGGCCCGCACAAG
rnacentral:rRNA from 1 species